GAUGAACGCUGGCGGCGUGCUUAACACAUGCAAGUCGAACGGAAAGGCCCAAGAUUGCUUGGGUACUCGAGUGGCGAACGGGUGAGUAACACGUGGGCGAUCUGCCCUGCACUUCGGGAUAAGCCUGGGAAACUGGGUCUAAUACUGGAUAGGACCACUUCUUGGAUGUUGUGGUGGAAAGUUUUUUCGGUGUGGGAUUGGCUCGCGGCCUGUCAGCUUGUCGGUGGGGUAAUGGACUACCACGGCGUCGACGGGUAGCCCGCCGGAGAGGGUGUAAGGCAACGAUGAGGCUAAGGUAGGGCCCGGUCACCUAGGGGAGGCAGAAGGGGGGAAGAUUGCAAUAUGGGCGCGAGCCUGAUGCAGCGACGCCGCGUGGGGGAGGACAGCCUACGGGUUGUAAACUCAUUUCGCUAGGGACGAGGCGUUUUGUGACGGUACCUUGAGAAGAAGCACCGGCUAACUACGUG
rnacentral:rRNA from 1 species